rnacentral:rRNA from 1 species
GUGCUCGCGGCCUAUCAGCUUGAUGGUGAGGUAAUGGCUCACCAUGGCUUCGACGGGUAGCCGGCCUGAGAGGGUGACCGGUCACACUGGGACUGAGACACGGCCCAGACUCCUACGGGAGGCAGCAGUGGGGAAUAUUGGACAAUGGGCGGAAGCCUGAUCCAGCAACGCCGCGUGAGGGAUGACGGCCUUCGGGUUGUAAACCUCUUUCAGUACCGACGAAGCGAUCCUUUUGGGGAGUGACGGUAGGUACAGAAGAAGCACCGGCCAACUACGUGCCAGCAGCCGCGGUAAUACGUAGGGUGCGAGCGUUGUCCGGAAUUAUUGGGCGUAAAGGGCUCGUAGGCGGUUUGUCGCGUCGGGAGUGAAAACCAGGUGCUUAACACCUGGCUUGCUUUCGAUACGGGCAGACUAGAGGUAUUCAGGGGAGAACGGAAUUCCUGGUGUAGCGGUGAAAUGCGCAGAUAUCAGGAGGAACACCGGUGGCGAAGGCGGUUCUCUGGGAAUAUCCUGACGCUGAGGAGCGAAAGUGUGGGGAGCGAACAGGAUUAGAUACCCUGGUAGUCCACACCGUAAACGUUGGGCGCUAGGUGUGGGGUCCAUUC